CUUCAUUUUUGACUUAGAAUAUUGUGGGUCCAUAUCUGGCAUGUGCUCCACUACUUUCUCCUACAGGCUGUCCACUUGAGUCAUAAAAAAUGAACAUAGCGUACCUUGGGCCCCUCAUGGGUGGCCACGGCAUAAUCGUAGGCUAGACCUCGGCUGUUGGUGAUUCUCAUGUCAAGGUGUGUGAGCAGAGGGCAUCACAUGCAAAUAACUUUGGAUUUGCCACCCCCCC
rnacentral:lncRNA from 1 species